GCCGCUUUAUAGAGUAGCCUCCAAGUUAGAUUUAGAGUAAAGUAGUUUCAGAAUUUAGAUUCUUUAGAGUCUAUAAAAUUUCGAUUUCUAGAGCACAUUCCUAGCCACACACAAAAAGAGAGAUCAUGAUGAUGUUAACUAUAUGUUUGUACUGAUUUUCUUGGAGUAGUAGAUCUCGCGUCCGACCAAGUCACUGACCAUAGGACAGAGAGAAUUCCCA
rnacentral:lncRNA from 1 species